AAGCGGCAACAGCUCAAAUUUGAAAUCUGGUCCCCAGGGCCCGAGUUGUAAUUUGUAGAGGAUGCUUUUGGCGAGGCGCCUUCCGAGUUUCCUGGAACGGGACGCCACAGAGGGUGAGAGCCCCGUCUGGUCGGAUGCCAAGCCUAUGUAAAGCUCCUUCGACGAGUCGAGUAGUUUGGGAAUGCUGCUCAAAAUGGGAGGUAUAUGUCUUCUAAAGCUAAAUACCGGCCAGAGACCGAUAGCGCACAAGUAGAGUGAUCGAAAGAUGAAAAGCACUUUGAAAAGAGGGUUAAAAAGUACGUGAAAUUGUUGAAAGGGAAGCGCCUAUGACCAGACUUGGGCCCGGUGAAUCAUCCAGCGUUCUCGCUGGUGCACUUUGCCGGGCACAGGCCAGCAUCAGUUUGGCGCGGGGGAUAAAGGCUUCGGGAAUGUGGCUCCCCUCGGGGAGUGUUAUAGCCCGUUGUGUAAUACCCUGCGCCGGACUGAGGUACGCGCUCCGCAAGGAUGCUGGCGUAAUGGUCAUCAGCGACCCGUCUUGAAACACGGACCAAGGAGUCGUCUUCGUAUGCGAGUGUUCGGGUGUAAAACCCCUACGCGUAAUGAAAGUGAACGCAGGUGAGAGCUUCGGCGCAUCACCGACCGAUCCUGAUGUUCUCGGAUGGAUUUGAGUAAGAGCAUACGGGGCCGGACCCGAAAGAAGGUGAACUAUGCCUGUAUAGGGUGAAGCCAGAGGAAACUCUGGUGGAGGCUCGCAGCGGUUCUGACGUGCAAAUCGAUCGUCAAAUAUGGGCAUGGGGGCGAAAGACUAAUCGAACCUUCUAGUAGCUGGUUUCCGCCGAAGUUUCCCUCAGGAUAGCAGUGUUGAACUCAGUUUUAUGAGGUAAAGCGAAUGAUUAGGGACUCGGGGGCGCUAUAUAGCCUUCAUCCAUUCUCAAACUUUAAA
rnacentral:rRNA from 1 species